AGAGUUUGAUCAUGGCUCAGGAUAGAACGCUAGCUACAGGCUUAACACAUGACAAGUCGGAGGGGAAACGACAUACGAAAGCUGUCUUUGUGGGCGUCGACCGGCGCACGGGUGAGUAACGCGUAUCCAACCUGCCCACCACUUGGGGAUAACCUUGCGAAAGUAAGACUAAUACCCAAUGAUAUCUCUAGAAGACAUCUGAAAGAGAUUAAAGAUUUAUCGGUGAUGGAUGGGGAUGCGUCUGAUUAGCUUGUUGGCGGGGUAACGGCCCACCAAGGCAACGAUCAGUAGGGGUUCUGAGAGGAAGGUCCCCACAUUGGAACUGAGACACGGUCCAAACUCCUACGGGAGGCAGCA
rnacentral:rRNA from 1 species